UACCAGCACCCCGAGUGGUCGGGACGAUUAUUGGGCCUAAAGCAUCCGUAGCCGGCCUUACAAGUCCUCCGUUAAAUCCAGCUGCUUAACAGAUGGGCUGCGGAGGAUACUAUAAGACUAGGAGGCAGGAGAGGCAAGCGGUACUCAGUGGGUAGGGGUAAAAUCCGUUGAUCCAUUGAAGACCACCAGUGGCGAAGGCGGCUUGCCAGAAUGCGCUCGACGGUGAGGGAUGAAGCUGGGGGAGCAAACCGGG
rnacentral:rRNA from 1 species